rnacentral:rRNA from 1 species
GGAAUCUUAGACAAUGGGGGAAACCCUGAUCUAGCCAUGCCGCGUGAGUGACGAAGGCCUUAGGGUCGUAAAGCUCUUUCGCCAGGGAUGAUAAUGACAGUACCUGGUAAAGAAACCCCGGCUAACUCCGUGCCAGCAGCCGCGGUAAUACGGAGGGGGUUAGCGUUGUUCGGAAUUACUGGGCGUAAAGGGCGCGUAGGCGGUAUGUCAAGUCAGGGGUGAAAGGCCUGGGCUCAACCCAGGAAUUGCCUUUGAAACUGGCAAACUAGAGUCCGAAAGAGGAUGGCGGAAUUCCCAGUGUAGAGGUGAAAUUCGUAGAUAUUGGGAAGAACACCGGUGGCGAAGGCGGCCAUCUGGAUCGGCACUGACGCUGAGGCGCGAAAGCGUGGGGAGCA